GCAUUGUGUCAAUAAUAAGUGUUGCUGUGAAGAGAACAAUAGUCAGACUGAAUGUUGAACAUCAGCUAGUUUCUCCUGCUGAUUUAAACCUUGUUGGACAGAUGGAACAUUGGCUGUGGAUUAUUCUAGCUGCUCUUUUCUUUGAGUGUAAAGGAAACUCAGUGACGCAGACAGAAGGACAUGUUGCUGCUGCUGAAGGACAAUCUGUGACUCUGGGAUGUAUUUUUGAAACCACUGACACAUAUCCAUAUCUUUUCUGGUACCAGCAAAAGGAAGGCAGUUCUCCAACCUAUAUGCUGAAGCGUGACCCAGGAACUGCAGAGAAUGAUCCAAAGUUCAGCAUAAACAGAUUUAAUGCUGAUCUCAACACAGAGAAACAAAAGAAAUCAGUAAAUCUGACGAUCCAGGAUCUCCGUCUGUCAGACUCUGCUGUGUACUACUGUGCUCUGAGGCCCACAGUGACAGGAAACACCAGAACUCUGUACAAGAACCUGCAGAGCAAAGACAAUAUAGUACUGCACUAUGACCACUUGAGGGCGUAAUUUAUUUAAACUAUGUAUAACUUUCUAGGAUUUAGUGCACAUCUUUACCUUUUG